AUUGAACGCUGGCGGCGUGCCUAACACAUGCAAGUCGAGCGAGAAAGGCCUCUUCGGGGGCUGAGUAGAGCGGCGCACGGGUGAGUAACGCGUGGAUGAUCUGCCCAAAAGAUCGGGAUAACAGUGGGAAACCGCUGCUAAUACCGGAUGAGCUUCAUAUUUUAUAUGAGGGAAAGGUGGCCUCUUCAUGAAAGCUGCCGCUUUUGGAUGAGUCCGCGUCUCAUUAGCUAGUUGGCGGGGUAAUGGCCCACCAAGGCUACGAUGAGUAGCUGGUCUGAGAGGAUGACCAGCCACACUGGGACUGGAACACGGCCCAGACUCCUACGGGAGGCAG
rnacentral:rRNA from 1 species